AGAAAGUUAGGUGGGCGGAUGAGAUUAAGAAGUUUGCAGGGACAACAUGGCCACAAUUAGUACAUGACCGGGGUAGUUGGAGAAGUACGGGAGAGGCCUUUGCCCUGCAGUGGGCAUAACCAGGCUGAUGAUGAUGAUGAUGUUGAUGAUGGUCAGGUGUGUUUUUCAGAAAAAGCGUCCCCCAACACUGAAAAUGUACAUGACCUCUUCGAAAUGCUUUUUUCACAGCAGAAAAUGAUGCUCUCGCUGGGUAUUUUGCUUCUUUUACCGGCAUGCUCUAAAGCGGGAUCUUCUUCUUACGGAUGGCAUCCUUGUCCGCAUGAACAUGAAUACAGAGGGAAAUGCUUACUUGGUAAUGUAGCCAACGAAUAUACAUGCCCGAAAGUGGGCGCGCAGUGGUGCAGUAAAUACAACUAUGACUCAGUUCGGAGACGCCCUUGUGUCUGCUACGAUGGAUACUGCAGGAAUAGGAGUCGGCUAUGUCAAAAGUGUAACGAGUGCGAUACUUGCACAUACAGAGGCAAAGAGAUUCCAAAGACAGGAUUCUUAUAUUUUGACGACAAAUGUGAAAGGGUUUCAUGCCCUAAUCGUGCCCCCUUGAUUGA